GACUCUCGGCAACGGAUAUCUCGGCUCUCGCAUCGAUGAAGAACAUAGCGAAAUGCGAUACUUGGUGUGAAUUGCAGAAUCCCGUGAACCAUCGAGUCUUUGAACGCAAGUUGCGCCCCAAGACUUGGUGUGAAUUGCAGAAUCC
rnacentral:rRNA from 1 species